UUGCCAUUUCACCUUCCUUUCACUUCACAAUUCAACUCUUCUAAUUUUCCUACUACCACCGCCACCAAAAUUUAUUCCCUUUCUUUCUAUAUAAAUAUAAAUACUCUCUAUACAUAGAAACCAAACCCUAAUCUCUGAUCUUUUUUUUAGUUCCUAACAUGGCGGAUAGAGUAUACCCAGCUGCUAAACCCGCCGCUGCAAACGGCACUGCCGCCCCCGCCGUCAACGGCGGAGCUAAUCCAGCCUUUCCGGCAAACAAAGCUCAACUUUACAACGCCACCCGCCCUACCUACCGUCCUCAGCCGCCUCCCCGUCGUAAACACCGACGGAGCUGCUGCUGUUGCUGUUGUCUCUGGACCACUUUCUUCAUAAUCACUAUCGUCCUCCUCGCCGCCAUCGCCGGCGCUAUUUUCUGGGUCCUUUACCGUCCACAGAGACCGUCGUUUUCAGUUUCUUCUCUUCAAGUCUCACAAUUCAAUCUCACUUCCACUAAACUCGUCUCCAAAUUCAACCUCACCGUCAUCGCUCG
rnacentral:lncRNA from 1 species